GGAUGGCGGGGGCGAUGUCUAUCAGCGGCGGCGCGAUCUAUAAGUACGAUGAUGCAUCGAUGAGCGUGCGUUUUGGCUGCUGGCGUACAUCUGUCCCGGUUCCGCGCUCGCCGAAGACACCUUAGAACUCUGUCUGAAGAUUGUAGUCUGAGAUUAAAUAUAAAUUAUUUAAAACUUUCAACAACGGAUCUCUUGGUUCCGGCAUCGAUGAAGAACGCAGCGAAAUGCGAUACGUAAUGUGAAUUGCAGAAUUCAGUGAAUCAUCGAGUCUUUGAACGCACAUUGCGCCCUCUGGUAUUCCGGAGGGCAUGCCUGUCCGAGCGUCAUUGCUGCCCUCAAGCACGGCUUGUGUGUUGGGCUCCGUCCUCCUUCCGGGGGACGGGCCCGAAAGGCAGCGGCGGCACCGCGUCCGGUCCUCAAGCGUAUGGGGCUUUGUCACCCGCUUUGUAGGACUGGCCGGCGCCUGCCGAUCAACCAAACUUUUUUCCAGGUUGACCUCGGAUCAGGUAGGGAUACCCGCUGACUUUAGCAUAUCAUAGGCGGAGGAACAUGCGGUCCUCCGGAGCACCCGCGCGUUCAUUUCGAACUGU
rnacentral:rRNA from 1 species